rnacentral:rRNA from 1 species
GACGAACGCUGGCGGCGUGCUUAACACAUGCAAGUCGAACGGAAAGGCCCUGCUUUUGUGGGGUGCUCGAGUGGCGAACGGGUGAGUAACACGUGAGUAACCUGCCCUUGACUUUGGGAUAACUUCAGGAAACUGGGGCUAAUACCGGAUAGGAGCCCCUGCUGCAUGGUGGGGGUUGGAAAGUUUCGGCGGUUGGGGCUGGACUCGCGGCUUAUCAGCUUGUUGGUGGGGUAGUGGCUUACCAAGGCUUUGACGGGUAGCCGGCCCGAGAGGGUGACCGGCCACCAUGGGCCUGAGAGACGGACCAGACUCCUACGGGGGGCAACGGGGGGGAAUAUUGCACAGUGGGCGGAAGCCUGAUGCAGCAACGCCGCGUGCGGGAUGACGGCCUUCGGGUUGUAAACCGCUUUCGCCUGUGACGAAGCGUGAGUGACGGUAAUGGGUAAAGAAGCACCGGCUAACUACGUG